ensembl:snRNA U6 U6 spliceosomal RNA
GUGCUCUCUUUGGCUACACACAUACUAAAAUUGGAAGGAUACAGAGAAGAUUAGCUUGGACCCUGCACAAGGAAGACACCAAAUUCAUGAAGUGUUCCAUAUUUUU